rnacentral:rRNA from 1 species
AAUCCUGGCUCAGGAUGAACGCUAGCUACAGGCUUAACACAUGCAAGUCGAGGGGCAGCAUUUUUAUAGCAAUAUAAAAGAUGGCGACCGGCGCACGGGUGUGUAACACGUAUCCAACCUGCCGAUAACUCGGGGAUAACCCUUCGAAAGAAGGCCUAAUACCCGAUGGCAUAUCCCUUCCGCCUGGUUGGGAUAUUAAAGAACUUCGGUUAUCGAUGGGGAUGCGUUCCAUUAGCUUGUUGGCGGGGUAACGGCCCACCAAGG